GCUCUCGAUGGUGCAGCUGUAGAACCUUUUGAGGAUCUGAGGACCCACGCCACAUCUUUUCAGUCUCCUGAGGGGGAAUAGGUUUUGUCUUGGUGUGUUUGGACGAAGACAGAUGUCACCCAUCUGGCUCAACAGGUUUUCUCGUGGGAAAAUGUCGGAAUGGUAUGCUGCUCCACGAGGCCCGGAACCAGACUGGAAUCCCGUUCUUCUGGAUCCCGUCUCUCUCUGCCCUCCCGGCCACGGUGUUCCGAUCAGAAUCGUGUCCCGACUCGCAGAGCAGAGGUGUUGAGAAACUCUCUCUCCCACGGGAAGUAUUUUUCUUCUAAACUACGCCUCCCUCUGUCUCUCUUUCUUCCUCUCUCUUCUCUCCCUAUCUCCUCCCUCUGUCUCUCUUUCUUCCUCUCUCUUCUCUCCCUAUCUCCUCCCUCUGUCUCUCUUCUCUCCCUAUCUCCUCCCUCUCAUCCUCUCUCUGUCAGAGAACACCAUGUGGCAGAGGGGAACAGCUGCAACACCUUUAUCAGAAAGGAGAACAGGAAAGACACUAAACAGGAACUCUGUCCUUGAGGAAAUAACUGAAGACGAUAAGAAAUGUAAUUGUGUAAUAUUCCAGUUCGUCUGGCCUGAACAACAAGUUGUUGUGAAGAUGGGGAGGGGUAUAAUCUGCUAUAAAAAAAAACAUGUUCUGCAUUUUGUUUUGACACACACAAAAAAAAUCUGUUGAAUUUGUUGUUUAGGCUCUGAUCUUAUCCCAUCUUGAUUACUGUCACCAAGGGUCUCUUGGUCACGACUCCCACUGAAGGUGGCUCCCCUUCCUGUUCAGGUGGCGCUCGGCGGUCGUCGUCUCCGGUCUACUAGAAGGUGGCUCCCCUGCCUGUUCAGGUGGCGCUCGGCGGUCGUCGUCACCGGCCUACUAGCUGCCACUGAAGGUGGCUCUCCUGCCCGUUCGGGUGGCGCUCGGCGGUCGUCGUCACCGGCCUACUAGCUGCCACUGAUCCCUUUUCCCCCUUUCUGUUGAUUGGUUUCACCUGUUUUGUGUGUAGGCUGAUUAGUCGGGCUAUAAUUACCAGGAGGCCUGCCUGCUCUUUGUGCGGGAUUGUUUUGUGUGACUUGUGAGGUUAACGUGUUUCCCAUUUCGUGGGGUUUUGCUGGACUGUUUGAGUCCCCGUGGUUGGGGCAUUUGUUCUGUUGUGUGCCCUGUGUUUUCGUGGGGUUGGCUUAUGUUCGCCGUUAGUGCAUUAAAUAGCACUCCCCUGAACUCUCUGCUUCCUGCGCCUGACUUCUCACCCACUACACCCAGAUCGUUACACACAGUCCUCAUGUCCAGAACUAAUUCACAGCAGAGUACCAUACAGAGCAAGGAUCUCACAUCCAUCUUCAUCAUACUCAAUUCCAGGUGACUACCUUAUGAAGCUGGUUGAGAGAAUGCCAAGAUUGUGCAAAGCUGUCAUCAAGGCAAAGGGUGGCUAGUUUGAAGAAUCUCAAAGCUAAAAUAUAUUUUGAUUUGUUUAACACUUUUUGUUGGUUACUACAUGAUUCCAUAUUGUGUUAUUUCAUAGUUUUGAUGUCUUCACUAUUAUUCUACAAUGUAGAAAAUAGUCAGAAUAAAGGAAAAAACCUGGAAUGAAUAGGUGUGUCCAAACUAUUGACCGGUACUGUACGUGUAAUCAAUUUGGAAAAACAUGAUAUCAUCACGUCAGUUAUCUUUUUAAAUUAAUUUGUUGAAUGAAUGUUGAAGAAACAUGAGCAAUGGCAGAGUUUAUUUAAAGAGAUAAACUAGCAGGAUAUAUGCCACAA